rnacentral:tRNA from 1 species
GGAGGGGUGGCCGAGUGGCUGAAGGCGGCGGUUUGCUAAACCGUUAUACGUGGAAACGCGUAUCGUGGGUUCGAAUCCCAUCCCCUCCGCCA